rnacentral:ncRNA from 1 species
GUUUGGUCCUGACCUUAAAAUCAAUUUUUACUUAAUUUACACAUGCAAGUCUCCGCACCCCUGCGAGAACGCCCUUAAACCCCUAAAAGGGGCAAGGAGCUGGUAUCAGGCACAAAUUUUUAGCCCAAGACACCUAGCUAUGCCACACCCACAAGGGAAUUCAGCAGUGAUUAACAUUGAACAUAAGCGACAGCUUGAUUCAGUUAAAGUAAGGAGAGCCGGCUAAUCUGGUGCCAGCCGCCGCGGUUACACCACGUGGCUCAAAUUGAUGAUUUUUCGGCGUAAAGCGUGAUUUAAGAGAUACUAUUCUGGUGUUAAAAAGAUACUAAGCCGUGACACGCUUGUGUCCUAGAAGCCCUAAAACGAAAGUUACACCAACCUAACCAACUUGAACUCUCGACAGCUGGGAAACAAACUGGGAUUAGAUACCCCACUAUGCCCAGCCGUAAACUUUAAUUUACACCUCCAAUCGCCCGGGAACUACGAGCUAAGCUUAAAACCCAAAGGACUUGACGGUACCCCAAAUCCACCUAGAGGAGCCUGUCCUAUAAUCGAUAACCCCCGUUAAACCUCACCAUUUCUUGUUUAUCAGCCUGUAUACCUCCGUCGCCAGCUUACCGCGUGAGCGCCAUAAGUGAGCUUAAUGCCCAUACGCCAACACGUCAGGUCAAGGUGCAGCUAAUGAAAUGGGAAGAGAUGGGCCUACACUUUCUACCGUAGAAAAAACGAAAGACUACCUAUGAAACCUAGUCAGAAGGAGGAUUUAGUAGUAAAAAGAAAACAGAGUGUUCUUUUUAAUUCGGCA